rnacentral:rRNA from 1 species
CCUACGGGAGGCAGCAGUGAGGAAUAUUGGUCAAUGGCCGAGAGGCUGAACCAGCCAAGUCGCGUGAGGGAAGAAUGUCCUCUGGAUUGUAAACCUCUUUUGUCAGGGAGCAAAGUCACCCAAGUGUGGGUGUUGGAGAGUACCUGAAGAAACAGCAUCGGCUAACUCCGUGCCAGCAGCCGCGGUACUACGGAGGAUGCGAGCGUUAUCCGGAUUUAUUGGGUUUAAAGGGUGCGUAGGCGGGUUAUCAAGUCAGCGGUAAAAGCGUGGAGCUCAACUCCAUCCAGCCUGUGAAACUGAUGAUCUUGAGUGGGCGAGAAGUAUGUGGAAUGCGUGGUGUAGCGGUGAAAUGCAUAGAUAUCACGCAGAACUCCGAUUGCGAAGGCAGCAUACCGGCGCCCGACUGACGCUGAAGCACGAAAGCGUGGGUAGCGAACAGGAUUAGAUACCCGGGUAGUC